rnacentral:rRNA from 1 species
AUUGAACGCUGGCGGCAGGCCUAACACAUGCAAGUCGAACGGUAACAGGAAGCAGCUUGCUGCUUCGCUGACGAGUGGCGGACGGGUGAGUAAUGUCUGGGAAACUGCCUGAUGGAGGGGGAUAACUACUGGUAACGGUAGCUAAUACCGCAUAACGUCGCAAGACCAAAGAGGGGGACCUUAGGGCCUCUUGCCAUCGGAUGUGCCCAGAUGGGAUUAGCUAGUAGGUGGGGUAACGGCUCACCUAGGCGACGAUCCCUAGCUGGUCUGAGAGGAUGACCAGCCACACUGGAACUGAGACACGGUCCAGACUCCUACGGGAGGCAGCAGUGGGGAAUAUUGCACAAUGGGCGCAAGCCUGAUGCAGCCAUGCCGCGUGUAUGAAGAAGGCCUUCGGGUUGUAAAGUACUUUCAGCGGGGAGGAAGGGAGUAAAGUUAAUACCUUUGCUCAUUGACGUUACCCGCAGAAGAAGCACCGGCUAACUCCGUG